rnacentral:rRNA from 1 species
GACGAACGCUGGCGGCGUGCUUAACACAUGCAAGUCGAACGGAAAGGCCCUGCUUUUGUGGGGUGCUCGAGUGGCGAACGGGUGAGUAACACGUGAGUAACCUGCCCUUGACUUUGGGAUAACUUCAGGAAACUGGGGCUAAUACCGGAUAGGAGCUCCUGCUGCAUGGUGGGGGUUGGAAAGUUUCGGCGGUUGGGGAUGGACUAGCGGCUUAUCAGCUUGUUGGUGGGGUAGUGGCUUACCAAGGCUUUGACGGGUAGCCGGCCUGGGAGGGUGACCGGCCACAUUGGGACUGAGAGACGGCCCAGACUCCUACGGGAGGCAGCAGUGGGGAGUAUUGCACAAUGGGCGGAAGCCUGAUGCAGCAACGCCGCGUGCGGGAUGACGGCCUUCGGGUUGUAAACCGCUUUCGCCUGUGACGAAGCGUGAGUGACGGUAAUGGGUAAAGAAGCACCGGCUAACUACGUG